rnacentral:rRNA from 1 species
AAUAGAUACCCGGGUAGUCCACGCCGUAAACGUUGGGCGCUAGAUGUGGGGGCCAUUCCACGGUUUCCGCGUCGUAGCUAACGCAUUAAGCGCCCCGCCUGGGGAGUACGGCCGCAAGGCUAAAACUCAAAGGAAUUGACGGGGGCCCGCACAAGCGGCGGAGCAUGCGGAUUAAUUCGAUGCAACGCGAAGAACCUUACUAAGGCUUGACAUAUACGAGAACACUACAGAAAUGUAGGACUCUUUGGACACUCGUAUACAGGUGGUGCAUGGUUGUCGUCAGCUCGUGUCGUGAGAUGUUGGGUUAAGUCCCGCAACGAGCGCAACCCUCGUCGCAUGUUGCCAGCACGUAAAGGUGGGAACUCAUGUGAGACUGCCGGGGUCAACUCGGAGGAAGGUGGGGAUGACGUCAAAUCAUCAUGCCCCUUAUGUCUUGGGCUUCACGCACGCUACAAUGGCCGGUACAAAGGGCUGCAAUCCGUAAGGUGGAGCGAAUCCCAAAAAGCCGGUCUCAGUUCGGAUUGAGGUCUGC